CAUUAACUGGGCAAUUAUGUUGUCUAACGUUUUUAUACCAUGCUUAAUCAUGUUUACUUUCUCAUGUUCUAUAUAAAAACAACUCUGCAUGCCGUAAGGAUUAUGUUGAUCUUUACCUAGACUACUCCUUUUGCUAUUGGACUUCAAAUAUUUUCUUUCCUACAAACCUCACCUAAUUAAAGGAAUCCCACCUUCCCCUCCUCUCUUGAUUUAUUGUAUUCUGUCAAAUGCUAUUAUAAUUUCAUCUCUCAUAUGCCAAAGGAAAAUCGAGUUGUUCGUACAAUCCAAGUAUUGCGAGUGUACGCUUACGAUGAUUAUAGGUUGUUGUAUCCUGGAUGGUAGGGCGUCAUAACCUGCU
rnacentral:lncRNA from 1 species